rnacentral:rRNA from 1 species
AGAGUUUGAUCCAGGCUCAGAUUGAACGCUGGCGGCAUGCCUUACACAUGCAAGUCGAACGGCAGCACGGGAGCAAUCCUGGUGGCGAGUGGCGAACGGGUGAGUAAUAUAUCGGAACGUGCCCAGUCGUGGGGGAUAACGCAGCGAAAGCUGUGCUAAUACCGCAUACGAUCUCUGGAUGAAAGCGGGGGACUCGCAAGAGCCUCGCGCGAUUGGAGCGGCCGAUAUCAGAUUAGCUAGUUGGUGGGGUAAAGGCCCACCAAGGCGACGAUCUGUAGCUGGUCUGAGAGGACGACCAGCCACACUGGAACUGAGACACGGUCCAGACUCCUACGGGAGGCAGCAGUGGGGAAUUUUGGACAAUGGGCGCAAGCCUGAUCCAGCAAUGCCGCGUGCAGGAUGAAGGCCUUCGGGUUGUAAACUGCUUUUGUACGGAACGAAACGGUCUGCCCUAAUACGGUGGGCUAAUGACGGUACCGUAAGAAUAAGCACCGGCUAACUACGUGCCAGCAGCCGCGGUAAUACGUAGGGUGCGAGCGUUAAUCGGAAUUACUGGGCGUAAAGCGUGCGCAGGCGGUUAUGUAAGACAGAUGUGAAAUCCCCGGGCUCAACCUUGCAUUUGUGACUGCAUAGCUAGAGUACGGUAGAGGGGGAUGGAAUUCCGCGUGUAGCAGUGAAAUGCGUAGAUAUCGUAAGGAAGACCAGUGGCGAAGGCGGGUCUCUGGACAGUUCCUGACACUGAGGCACGAAGGCCAGGGGAGCAAACGGGAUUAGAUACCCCGGUAGUCCUG